rnacentral:rRNA from 1 species
UACGAAGGGGGCGAGCGUUGUUCGGAUUUACUGGGCGUAAAGGGCGCGCAGGCGGCCAUUUUUGUCAGGCGUGAAAGCCCCGGGCUCAACCUGGGAAUUGCGCUUGGGACGGGAUGGCUAGAGAUCGGGAGAGGAGAGUGGAAUUCCCAGUGUAGAGGUGAAAUUCGUAGAUAUUCGCAAGAACACCAGUGGCGAAGGCGGCUCACUGGCCCGGUACUGACGCUGAGGUGCGAAAGCGUGGGGAGCAAACAGG